CCUACGGGUGGCAGCAGUGAGGAAUAUUGGUCAAUGGACGAGAGUCUGAACCAGCCAAGUAGCGUGAAGGAUGACUGCCCUAUGGGUUGUAAACUUCUUUUAUAUGGGAAUAAAACGCUCCACGUGUGGGAUUUUGUAUGUACCAUAUGAAUAAGGAUCGGCUAACUCCGUGCCAGCAGCCGCGGUAAUACGGAGGAUCCGAGCGUUAUCCGGAUUUAUUGGGUUUAAAGGGAGCGUAGGUGGAUUGUUAAGUCAGUUGUGAAAGUUUGCGGCUCAACCGUAAAAUUGCAGUUGAAACUGGCAGUCUUGAGUACAGUAGAGGUGGGCGGAAUUCGUGGUGUAGCGGUGAAAUGCUUAGAUAUCACGAAGAACUCCGAUUGCGAAGGCAGUUCACUGGACUGCAACUGACACUGAGGCUCGAAAGUGUGGGUAUCAAACAGGAUUAGAUACCCCUGUAGUC
rnacentral:rRNA from 1 species